GGCCUGUUAACUCAGCUGGUUAGAGCAUGGUGCUAAUGACGCCAAGGUUGUGGGUUUGAUCCACUCAUGGGCCA
rnacentral:tRNA from 1 species